rnacentral:rRNA from 1 species
UACGUAGGGAGCAAGCGUUGUCCGGAAUCAUUGGGCGUAAAGCGCGCGUAGGCGGCCCCGUAAGUCCGCUGUGAAAGUCAAAGGCUCAACCUUUGAAAGCCGGUGGAUACUGUGGGGCUAGAGUACGGAAGAGGCGAGUGGAAUUCCUGGUGUAGCGGUGGAAUGCGCAGAUAUCAGGAGGAACACCAAUAGCGAAGGCAGCUCGCUGGGACGUUACUGACGCUGAGACGCGAAAGCGUGGGUAGCAAACAGG